CCUACGGGAGGCAGCAGUAGGGAAUCUUCCACAAUGGGCGAAAGCCUGAUGGAGCAACGCCGCGUGGGUGAAGAAGGUCUUCGGAUCGUAAAACCCUGUUGUCAGAGAAGAAAGUGCGUGAGAGUAACUGUUCACGUCUCGACGGUCUCUAACCAGAAAGCCACGGCUAACUACGUGCCAGCAGCCGCGGUAAUACGUAGGUGGCAAGCGUUAUCCGGAUUUAUUGGGCGUAAAGGGAACGCAGGCGGUCUUUUAAGGCUGAUGUGAAAGCCUUCGGCUUAACCGGGGUAGUGCAUUGGAAACUGGGUGACUGGAGUGCAGAAGAGGAGAGUGGAACUCCAGGUGUAGCGGUGAAAUGCGUAGAUAUAUGGAAGAACACCAGUGGCGAAGGCGGCUCGCUGGACUGUAACUGACGCUGAGGUUCGAAAGCGUGGGUAGCAAACAGGAUUAGAUACCCCAGUAGUC
rnacentral:rRNA from 1 species